rnacentral:tmRNA from 2 species
GGGCCCGUAAAGGUUUCGACGGGGAGUGUGAAGUGCGAGCAGCGGGUAGUGGAUGGGGGCCACACUUUAAACGCCUCCAAAAAAAUAGCUAACAACAACAAAUUAGCUGUCGCCGCCUGAUAAAGGCGGCUGUCCUGCCCACUCCAGCGCCGAGUGGGGCCAGGGCAUCAUUUAGGCGCUGAACGUGAGCCGCGCUAAGCUUUGCGCGCGGCCAUGACCCCAUGAAGCUACCAAAGUGGCGGCCUGUUUGCCGGCCUGCCCCGGCGGGAAUGUUGUAGACAAACUGCACCCGGAGAUACUCUCGCGGAUCGCUUUUCGGACACGGGUUCGAUUCCCGUCGGGUCCACCA